AGUGAACGCUGGCGGUAGGCCUAACACAUGCAAGUCGAACGGCAGCACAGGAGAGCUUGCUCUCUGGGUGGCGAGUGGCGGACGGGUGAGGAAUACAUCGGAAUCUACUCUGUCGUGAGGGAUAACGUAGGGAAACUUACGCUAAUACCGCAUACGACCUACGGGUGAAAGCAGGGGACCUUCGGGCCUUGCGCGACUGAACGAGCCGAUGUCGGAUUAGCUAGUUGGCGGGGUAAAGGCUCACCAAGGCGACGAUCCGUAGCUGGUCUGAGAGGAUGAUCAGCCACACUGGAACUGAGACACGGUCCAGACUCCUACGGGAGGCAGCAGUGGGGAAUAUUGGACAAUGGGCGCAAGCCUGAUCCAGCCAUACCGCGUGGGUGAAGAAGGCCUUCGGGUUGUAAAGCCCUUUUGUUGGGAAAGAAAUCCAGCUGGCUAAUACCCGGUUGGGAUGACGGUACCCAAAGAAUAAGCACCGGCUAACUUCGUGCCAGCCGCCGCGGUAA
rnacentral:rRNA from 1 species